rnacentral:lncRNA from 1 species
AGUUCAAUGUAGCCACCCUCUCCAGGCCCGCUGCUUCUGCCAGCUGGAUGUUGCGUCGUCCCUCGCUAUUCGCCCUCCUAUAAUCACUGCUUCCAUGUUGAAUCAAAACAAUUAUGCUUUCGUUCUCCCUUCUUCAAUUGCCCUAUCUUCACACCUGAACACUAUUGCUCCGGUAUCCUGCCAUUUUGGAUCAGGGCGGUUGACGGUGGAUUCACUUCCCAUCAGCCCUUGAGGCUGCAGGGACCAGCCCUUUGUACAGUGGAGAAGCCCAGGCGGCCUAGAAUCCAGUGUCGUCCGUGAGUGCUUGGCUGGUGUUCAAGUGCAUCUUCCAGCCUGAGACCGCGUGGACUCGCUCAUCGUGAGGGCGAGAGGAGGAUAAGCCCAUUGGGCUGUCGGCUGAGAGUGAGGUGCGGGACCAUCCACAAUAUUGUUUGAACAUCUGAAGACAUGGGGAACUUGCCAUCUGAUAUCUGAUAACAGACUUCCUGUAAAGCAGGACUGGUAGUUUCCUGAUAACAAAUUCUUCAAUAUGAAGGAUAUAGCUGUGUCCUUUACAACUGGUAGCAUGGAAAGAAAGAGAAGUCUGCAAAGAUUGAACAAACAGCAUGCACUGUGGUAUCCUUUAUUUAAAAAUUGUGAGCUGACUACAGUUGUAGUGUUCUCAUUUACCAUUCUGAUGGCAUAAUAAACCAAGAGAACAUUAACACAAUUCCAAGAAGGCAUUAACCUGUAACACACAUAUACGCCACACAUGCACACACACAACAUACACGCACACAAAGGUUAUAUUCUGAACACAAAAGUGAUAGAAAAAAGCUUUGAAUGCGCUAAAUCAAAUAAAAACCCUUUAUUAUAAUAAACUGUGGCAAUACUGUG